rnacentral:rRNA from 1 species
AUACGUAGGGUGCGAGCGUUGUCCGGAAUUACUGGGCGUAAAGAGCUCGUAGGUGGUUUGUCGCGUCGUCUGUGAAAUUCCGGGGCUUAACUCCGGGCGUGCAGGCGAUACGGGCAUAACUUGCGUACUGUAGGGGAGACUGGAAUUCCUGGUGUAGCGGUGAAAUGCGCAGAUAUCAGGAGGAACACCGGUGGCAAAGGCGGGUCUCUGGGCAGUAACUGACGCUGAGGAGCGAAAGCAUGGGUAGCGAACAGGAUUAGAUACCCUGGUAGUCCAUGCCGUAAACGGUGGGCGCUAGGUGUAGGGGUCUUCCACGACUUCUGUGCCGUAGCUAACGCAUUAAGCGCCCCGCCUGGGGAGUACGGCCGCAAGGCUAAAACUCAAAGGAAUUGACGGGG